CUUACUCCUACGGGAGGCAGCAGUGGGGAAUAUUGCACAAUGGGCGAAAGCCUGAUGCAGCGACGCCGCGUGAGGGAUGACGGCCUUCGGGUUGUAAACCUCUUUCAGCUAGGGACGAAGCGCAUAGU
rnacentral:rRNA from 1 species